rnacentral:rRNA from 1 species
CCAGACUCCUACGGGAGGCAGCAGUAGGGAAUUUUGCGAAAUGGGCGAAAGCCUGACGCAGCAACGCCGCGUGAUUGAUUAAGCCCUUCGGGGUGUAAAGAUCUGUCAGUGGGGACGAAACUUGACGGUACCCACAGAGGAAGCACCGGCUAACUCCGUGCCAGCAGCCGCGGUAAUACGGAGGGUGCAAGCGUUGUCCGGAAUCAUUGGGCGUAAAGAGUUCGUAGGUGGCAUAUUAAGUCUGGUGUUAAAUGCAGAAGCUCAACUUCUGUUCGGCACUGGAUACUGGUAAGCUUGAAUGCGGUAGAGGUAAAGGGAAUUCCUGGUGUAGCGGUGAAAUGCGUAGAUAUCAGGAGGAACAUCAGUGGCGAAGGCGACUAUCUGGCACAUAACUGACGCUGAGGAGCGAAAGCGUGGGUAGCAAACAGGAUUAGAUACCCCGGUAA